rnacentral:rRNA from 1 species
GAUGAACGCUGGCGGCGUGCCUAAUACAUGCAAGUCGAGCGAAUGGAUUAAGAGCUUGCUCUUAUGAAGUUAGCGGCGGACGGGUGAGUAACACGUGGGUAACCUGCCCAUAAGACUGGGAUAACUCCGGGAAACCGGGGCUAAUACCGGAUAACAUUUUGAACCGCAUGGUUCGAAAUUGAAAGGCGGCUUCGGCUGUCACUUAUGGAUGGACCCGCGUCGCAUUAGCUAGCUGGUGAGGUAACGGCUCACCAAGGCAACGAUGCGUAGCCGACCUGAGAGGGUGAUCGGCCACCCUGGGGCUGAGACACGGCCCAGACUCCUACGGGAGGCAGCAGUAGGGAAUCUUCCGCAAUGGACGAAAGUCUGACGGAGCAACGCCGCGUGAGUGAUGAAGGCUUUCGGGUCGUAAAACUCUGUUGUUAGGGAAGAACAAGUGCUAGUUGAAUAAGCUGGCACCUUGACGGUACCUAACCAGAAAGCCACGGCUAACUACGUGCCAGCCGCCGCGGUAA